AAACGCCUAUAAAAACUGAAAACACGGCUCUUCUCUAAGUGCUACAGCUCCUCUAACUCAAUGCCUCUGUCCCCCUCCUUGUUUAAAAGUCUAUGAAAGUACUCCUGCCAUCUCUUCUUAAUGUGCACAUCCUCCACCAAAAUACUACCAUCCUCCUCCUUAAUGUACCUCACUUGAUCGAGGUCAUGACCCUUUCGCUCCCUAGCCUUAUCAAACCUAUACAACCUCUUUUC
rnacentral:lncRNA from 1 species